rnacentral:tRNA from 1 species
GCUGUUGUAGCGUAGUGGUAGCGCAACGCCUUGGUAAGGCGUAGGUCGUGGGUUCAAUUCCCACCAACAGCACCA